rnacentral:lncRNA from 1 species
AAAUAACACAAGGGCUGUUCUGAAGGUAAUACCACCAAUAUAUUGGCCAAUGAUGUCAGAAGUGCUAUUGCAGAAGAGGUUGAACAUUACCACCAAUACUCUGUUACAUUUUGUUAUCGUGUGACAGAUGACAGCAGAGAGGCAGUCAGACAAAAUGGUGUCUGACGUGGAAGUGCAUAUGAAGAAAAGGUAACAUUGCUGGAGAACAGUGAUUGCCACAAUAAUAAAAGUUAAAACC